UAAUACAGAGGGUGCAAGCGUUGCUCGGAAUCAUUGGGCGUAAAGGGUAGGUAGGUGGUCUCAUUUGUCUGGGGUGAAAGCCUUGAGCUUAACUCAAGAAGUGCCCCGGAAACGGUGAGACUGGAGUCCUAGAGAGGCUAGCGGAAUUCCCGGUGUAGCGGUGAAAUGCGUAGAGAUCGGGAGGAACACCAGAGGCGAAGGCGGCUAGCUGGAUAGGCACUGACACUCAACUACGAAAGCGUGGGGAGCAAACAGGAUUAGAUACCCUGGUAGUCCACGCCGUAAACGAUGGGUACUAGGUUUGGUGGGUCUUGACCCCCGCUGAACCGGCGCUAACGCACUAAGUACCCCGCCUGGGAAGUACGGUCGCAAGACUA
rnacentral:rRNA from 1 species